GAUGAACGCUGGCGGCGUGCUUAACACAUGCAAGUCGAACGAAGCACUUUAUUAUGAUUUCUUCGGAAUGACGAUUUAGUGACUGAGUGGCGGACGGGUGAGUAACGCGUGGGUAACCUGCCUUAUACAGGGGGAUAACAGUUAGAAAUGACUGCUAAUACCGCAUAAGCGCACAGGAUUGCAUGAUCUAGUGUGAAAAACUCCGGUGGUAUAAGAUGGACCCGCGUCUGAUUAGCUGGUUGGUGAGGUAACGGCCCACCAAGGCGACGAUCAGUAGCCGACCUGAGAGGGUGACCGGCCACAUUGGGACUGAGACACGGCCCAAACUCCUACGGGAGGCAGCAGUGGGGAAUAUUGCACAAUGGGGGAAACCUGAUGCAGCGACGCCGCGUGAGCGAAGAAGUAUUUCGGUAUGUAAAGCUCUAUCAGCAGGGAGAAAAAAUGACGGUACCUGACUAAGAAGCCCGGCUAACUACGUGCCAGCAGCCGACGG
rnacentral:rRNA from 1 species